rnacentral:rRNA from 1 species
AUUGAACGCUGGCGGAAUGCUUUACACAUGCAAGUCGAGCGGCAGCGCGGCCUUCGGGCUGGCGGCGAGCGGCGAACGGGUGAGUAAUGCAUCGGAACAUGCCCAGUCGUGGGGGAUAACACUUCGAAAGAAGUGCUAAUACCGCAUACGUCCUGAGGGGGAAAGCGGGGGAGCGCAAGACCUCGCGCGAGUGGGGUGGCGGAUGUCAGAUUAGCUAGUUGGUGGGGUAAAGGCCUACUAAGGCGACGAUCUGUAGCUGGUCUGAGAGGAUGAUCAGCCACACUGGGACUGAGACACGGCCCAGACUCCUACGGGAGGCAGCAGUGGGGAAUUUUGGACAAUGGGGGCAACCCUGAUCCAGCCAUUCCGCGUGAGUGAAGAAGGCCUUCGGGUUGUAAAGCUCUUUCGGCAGGAACGAAACGGUGGGCUCUAAGAUAGUCCGCUAAUGACGGUACCUGAAGAAGAAGCACCGGCUAACUACGUG